UUCAGACGGAGCGCUGGGGUUGGAUCUCCCAAGCAACACAAUUGGCUCUGUGCAGGACACCUGGCACGGGGCACUGGGUCGCAGCUCGUCCCCUCUCCCUCCAGGAACAACGAUGCUCAAGGACCAGCUUUUCCUCCCAGGCCUCUCCCACUUCCCUUCUCACCGGUGCUGCCCGCCCGGUCCCGGGAACCGCGCCCGUCGCAGGGUCCCGAUCGUUCCCCCCUACAUCCCCUUGGGACCAGGAGCAAAUUCCUGUGGGUCCCAGGAGUGCCAAAAGUGCUCAGCGAGACGGGAAAUUGCAACAGUACUUGGCCCCUCGGCCCUCCCCCGGCGCUUUCCCGUAACUCCCGCCCCUGGACACUUGCCCCGUAGUUGAUUCAUAGCUGGGGCGCGGGGCCGCCUCCACACGCCUGGACAGACGUCCGCGCCCGUUCCCCUGUGAGGCCGAGGACCGGCAAGGCUCCGGAGCAGGUCGCCAGGCGGGUAAUCAGACCAAUGGCUUUCUCUGUGGUCCUUCAUCCAGCCUUCCUCCUGGCAGUGCUGUCCCUGAGGGCAUCCCGAAGCGAAGUCUUGGAGGAGCCUUUACCAUUGACUCCUGAGAUACAUAAAGUUUCUUUUCAAUUGAAACUUCAAGAAGUGAAUUUAGAAUGGACUGUCCCAGCCCUUACUCAUGAAGAAUUAAACAUGAUAUUUCAGAUAGAGAUCAGUAGACUGAACAUAUCCAACACCAUCUGGGUGGAGAAUUAUAGCACCACUGUGAAGCGUGAAGAAGCUGUGCGUUGGAACUGGACGUCUGAUAUCCCUUUGGAGUGUGUCAAACAUUUCAUAAGAAUCAGGGCUCUGGUAGAUGACACCAAGUCCCUUCCACAGAGUUCCUGGGGCAACUGGAGUUCCUGGAAAGAAGUUAAUGCAAAGGUUUCCGUUGAACCUGAUAAAUCAUUAAUAUUUCCUAAAGACAAAGUGUUGGAAGAAGGCUCCAAUGUCACCAUCUGUCUGAUGUAUGGGCAGAAUGUAUAUAAUGUAUCCUGUAAGUUGCAAGAUGAGCCAAUCCAUGGAGAACAACUUGAUUCCCACGUGUCAUUAUUAAAAUUGAACAAUGUAGUUUUCCUUAGUGACACAGGGACAAACAUCAAUUGUCAAGCCACGAAGGGUCCUAAAAGAAUAUUUGGUACUGUUCUCUUUGUCUCGAAAGUGCUCGAGGAACCUAAGAAUGUUUCCUGUGAAACCCGAGACUUUAAGACUUUGGACUGUUCAUGGGAACCUGGGGUAGAUACGACUUUGACUUGGCGUAAACAAAGAUUCCAAAACUACACUUUAUGUGAAUCGUUCUCUAAGAGAUGUGAGGUUUCUAACUACAGGAACUCCUAUACCUGGCAAAUCACUGAAGGCUCACAGGAAAUGUAUAACUUUACUCUCACAGCUGAAAACCAACUAAGGAAAAGAAGUGUCAACAUUAAUUUUAACCUGACCCAUAGAGUUCAUCCAAAGGCUCCGCAGGACGUCACCCUUAAAAUUAUAGGUGCUACAAAAGCCAACAUGACUUGGAAGGUUCACUCCCAUGGAAACAACUACACACUUUUGUGUCAGGUUAAACUCCAAUAUGGAGAAGUGAUUCAUGAGCACAAUGUUUCUGUCCACAUGAGCGCAAACUACCUCUUCAGUGAUCUGGAUCCAGACACAAAGUACAAGGCUUUUGUGCGCUGUGCAAGUGCCAACCACUUCUGGAAAUGGAGCGACUGGACCCAAAAAGAGUUCAGCACACCCGAGACUGCUCCCUCACAGGCUCUUGAUGUAUGGAGACAAGUGUGGUCGGAGAAUGGAAGACGCAUUGUGACUUUAUUCUGGAAGCCACUAUUAAAAUCACAGGCCAAUGGCAAAAUCAUAUCCUAUAAUAUAGUUGUAGAAAAUGAAGCCAAACCAACUGAGUCAGAACACUACUGUGUCUGGGCACCAGCCCUCAGCACAAACCUGAGCCUUGACCUGCAACCUUACAAGAUUCGCAUCACAGCCAACAACAGCAUGGGGGCAUCUCCUGAGUCCUUGAUGGUCCUUUCUAAUGAUUCUGGACACGAAGAGGUCAAGGAAAAGACAAUUAAAGGUAUAAAGGAUGCAUUCAAUAUUUCUUGGGAGCCCGUAUCUGGAGACACGAUGGGCUAUGUUGUGGACUGGUGUGCACAUUCCCAGGACCAACGCUGUGAUUUGCAGUGGAAGAACCUUGGUCCCAAUACCACAAGCACCACCAUCACCUCAGGGAGAUCAAAGAUGCUCAAGCGUGUGGCUUAAGUAGGAAGCGCAGGAGGAAGGACUGAUGUGGGAAUCAUCUAGAUGCAGAAAGUGAUGGAGACUCCUGCAAGAUUGAGGGGCCCGAGAGCACAGAUGAGGGAGCCCGAGCACAAGUGAGGCCUGCUGAGGAUCCUGGCUCCAGAGCACAUGACAGUUUCUAUUGACUGGAGACAGCACUGUGUUCUACGGCAACACGGAAAGUUCUAAGGCCUAGUGGAAGGGGGGAAUACUCGUGGAAAGAGUGGGAAGAUCUUGAGAGAGAAGCUACUAGGGGUUGCUUGCUUACUGUCUGUCCUUUCCUGCUCAGCUCAAAUGAUGUCAUCGUGUCUUCUUAAAAACCUUUGACUUCUCUUCUCUAGAUGAUUUUAAACCAGGCGUCCGUUACAACUUCAGAAUUUUUGAAAGGUCUGUGGAACACAAAGCUCGGUUAGUAGAGAAACAAAGAGGAUACACCCAGGAACUGGCUCCUUUGGUGAAUCCAAAAGUGGAGAUUCCUUACUCGACCCCUAACUCCUUCGUUCUAAGAUGGCCAGAUUAUGACAGCGACUUCCAGGCUGGUUUUAUAAAAGGGUACCUCGUGUAUGUGAAAUCCAAGGAGAUGCAGUGCAACCAACCCUGGGAAAGGACCCUCCUUCCAGAUAAUUCAGUCCUCUGUAAAUACGACAUCAAUGGCUCAGAGACAAAGACACUCACCGUGGAAAACCUUCAGCCAGAGUCCCUCUAUGAGUUUUUCGUCACUCCGUACACCAGCGCUGGCCCAGGACCCAAUGAAACGUUCACAAAGGUCACAACUCCAGAUGCACGCUCCCACAUGCUGCUGCAGAUCAUACUACCCAUGACCCUCUGCGUCUUGCUCAGCAUCAUUGUCUGCUACUGGAAAAGUCAGUGGGUGAAGGAGAAGUGCUACCCUGACAUUCCCAAUCCGUACAAGAGCAGCAUUCUGUCACUCAUAAAAUCCAAGAAGAAUCCUCACUUAAUAAUGAAUGUCAAAGACUGCAUUCCAGAUGUCCUUGAAGUGAUAAACAAAGCAGAAGGCAGCAAGACACAGUGUGUAGGCUCUGGGAAACUUCACAUUGAAGAUGUACCCACUAAGCCGCCAAUCGUGCCAACAGAAAAGGAUUCCUCAGGGCCUGUGCCCUGCAUCUUCUUUGAGAAUUUUACUUACGAUCAGUCAGCUUUUGACUCUGGUUCCCAUGGCCUCAUUCCAGGUCCCCUAAAAGACACAGCACACCAACUUGGACUAUUGGCUCCACCUAACAAGUUCCAGAACGUAUUAAAAAAUGACUACAUGAAGCCCCUGGUCGAAAGUCCAACUGAAGAAACUAGCUUGAUUUAUGUGUCACAGCUGGCUUCACCCAUGUGCGGAGACAAGGACACGCUUGCCACAGAACCACCCGUGCCAGUGCAUGGUUCAGAGUAUAAAAGGCAAAUGGUAGUUCCCGGGAGCCUCGCAUCACCUUCUCUGAAGGAGGAUAACAGCUUGACCUCAACGGUCCUCUUAGGCCAAGGUGAACAGUAAACACCACGCAGCACAAAUAAAUGCACUCCACACACUAUAGGCACUUUGGGAGAUGUAGCUGUUACCAUGCCAACACCACGUGCCCUGGUUGGUUCCAGGGGUGGGGGUUGAGGGGAGACUCAUUAUCUGCAGUGCUGAUUUAUCAACGAUCACUACAGACCAACAGACUUAAGGACCAUAUAAUAUGGUGUUCACCCUGAAGGCGUUCCCUAGAAAUGGCAGAUCCGAGAGCAUGCUGACCUUGCUAUUAUUUGGUCCAGGCUCACCCUUAUUGCAGUAGCUUGACAUAGGGUGUACACCAGUCAUUUCGCAGAGCCUACCUACUCAAAACUACACACCGAGGCUGUGGUCCUAGGAUUUUGAUUUGCAGCGAGAAAGCAUCUUCUUGUAAACUUAACCUCACACUUAAAAGUUUAAGGGUAAAACAAGUGGGUCAGAAGUUUUGAUUAGCACCGCAAGAGAUUGCUUACUUUGAUUGUGCAGAUUUAUCACAUUUAAUGGAAAGGCUACAAACUAGGUUUUGGCCAUACCUUGAAAUGAGAACUUGUGGUCACUGAUAAAGCAGAAAGAACUCUCUUCGUGUCUACACCUUAUGUAACUAACCAGUAAGAUGUGCAAAUGGACAGGAGACUCUUCAUGCGUCUCCUGCAGUCAAACAGGAUUGCAAGGAGCUCCAGACCUGCUGCCCAGGCGACUGCAUCCUGUCCAACAGACUCCAGUCUUCCUCUUUAGUUUUUGACUACCUCAGAACAGGAAAAAAAGGACAUUUCAUUGAGUGAUGCCUUUUACAUAUAAUAUACACCACCUCCCGCCCCUGCCCCCACCCCAAGCUGUAUCUAGAUGACCUAUUUCACGAGCUGAUCUCUGCUUUUUGCACGCUUGGUUGUCUGGUUCAAGAAAAUUCUGUCUCACAUUCCUAUUGUGCUAAAAUACUAUAGCCCCAGAACUGGGUAUAAUUUAAACUGUAGAAGUCAGUUGUGAAGGACCCAAAGCAUGUCUUUUGACAAAAAUCUACUUGGUCCUAUCUGUGGGUUUCACAUCAAGAUUCAACCAAUUUCAGAAAGAAGAUAUUCUGGAAAAAAAAAUUGUCUGUACUAAAUUCAUAGAUUUUUCUUGUUAUUCCGUAAAUAAGGUAUUAACAAUUUCCAUAGCACUUACACGCACCAGGUAUUAGGCCACAGCAUGGAGGAGUACUCACUGUAUACAAUGCUAUUUUUAGGUUAAGGCCUAAACUUCUGAAGAUCUUGGUAACAGCAGAGCUCCUGUAAUCAACUCCUGGAAUGUGCCAUAGAGGAAUGACUAUAUGUAACAGCUGAACACUUACACCGGUUCCUUCCUCUUAAUGCUUGUCACAUUGCAGACCAAGGUGGAGAGGUUCUCCUUUUGUUGUUAGCUACGUGUGGUAGCAGUGAUGACUUUGUGCGCAUGUGCAGCUGUUAAGUGCUAUAGCAUGUGCUACAGGGUGUGGCCAUAGAACAUAGUAACAGCAACCACGAAUGUUCAACACAAGCUGUCCAAUCUUCUCUUUACGUAAUACCAAGCCUUUGCUAGAAAGCAUGGCUACAACCUAAGCUAGGAUCAGCCAGUAUCUUGAGUAGUUUAGGUGGGAGAAGACUUUGCUCACUAUUGCAGAUGCUCUGUUUACAUUUUCUUGUCAAUGGACUUCUCACUGGAAACUUGCACCCAGAAAUGUUAAUGACAUUGAUUUGUGAUUUUGUUUUUCAUUUCAAUUUUGGUUAAAAAAUAAUCCAUAAAACAUUUCUGCUGUUUCAAUAAAGCCCAAAUUAAAACAUUUCACGAUCA